rnacentral:rRNA from 1 species
UACGAAGGGGGCUAGCGUUGCUCGGAAUCACUGGGCGUAAAGGGUGCGUAGGCGGGUCUUUAAGUCAGGGGUGAAAUCCUGGAGCUCAACUCCAGAACUGCCUUUGAUACUGAGGAUCUUGAGUACGGGAGAGGUGAGUGGAACUGCGAGUGUAGAGGUGAAAUUCGUAGAUAUUCGCAAGAACACCAGUGGCGAAGGCGGCUCACUGGCCCGAUACUGACGCUGAGGUGCGAAAGCGUGGGGAGCCAACAGG